GCCAUAGCUCAGUGGCAGAACAUCUGCCUGGAAUGCAGAAGGUUCCAGGUUUGAUCUCCCAUGGCAUUUACAGGCA